rnacentral:rRNA from 1 species
UACGUAGUGUGCGAGCGUUAAUCGGAAUUACUGGGCGUAAAGCGUGCGCAGGCGGCUUCGCAAGUCAGGCGUGAAAUCCCCGGGCUUAACCUGGGAAUGGCGUCUGAAACUACGGAGCUGGAGUGUGGCAGAGGGAGGUAGAAUUCCACGUGUAGCGGUGAAAUGCGUAGAUAUGUGGAGGAAUACCGAUGGCGAAGGCAGCCUCCUGGGCCAACACUGACGCUCAUGCACGAAAGCGUGGGGAGCAAACAGG